rnacentral:rRNA from 1 species
ACAUCCAGAGAACUUAGCAGAGAUGCUUUGGUGCCUUCGGGAACUCUGAGACAGGUGCUGCAUGGCUGUCGUCAGCUCGUGUUGUGAAAUGUUGGGUUAAGUCCCGCAACGAGCGCAACCCUUAUCCUUUGUUGCCAGCGGUUCGGCCGGGAACUCAAAGGAGACUGCCGGUGAUAAACCGGAGGAAGGUGGGGAUGACGUCAAGUCAUCAUGGCCCUUACGGCCAGGGCCACACACGUGCUACAAUGGCGCAUACAAAGAGAAGCGACCUCGCGAGAGCAAGCGGACCUCAUAAAGUGCGUCGUAGUCCGGAUUGGAGUCUGCAACUCGACUCCAUGAAGUCGGAAUCGCUAGUAAUCGUAGAUCAGAAUGCUACGGUGAAUACGUUCCCGGGCCUUGUACACACCGCCCGUCACACCAUGGGAGUGGGUUGCAAAAGAAGUAGGUAGCUUAACCUUCGGGAGGGCGCUUACCACUUUGUGAUUCAUGACUGGGGUGAAGUCGUAACAAGGUAAGCGUAGCGAG